UACGGAGGGUGCAAGCGUUAUCCGGAUUCACUGGGUUUAAAGGGAGCGUAGGUGGGUUGGUAAGUCAGUGGUGAAAUCCCCGAGCUUAACUUGGGAACUGCCAUUGAUACUAUCAGUCUUGAAUACUGUGGAGGUUAGCGGAAUAUGUCAUGUAGCGGUGAAAUGCUUAGGUAUGACAUAGAACACCAAUUGCGAAGGCAGCUGGCUACACAAUUAUUGACACUGAGGCUCGAAAGCGUGGGGAUCAAACAGG
rnacentral:rRNA from 1 species